GCUCCGGUGGCCUAGUGGUUAGAGCGUUCGUAUUGGAUGCAGGAGGUCGAGGGUUCGAACCCCGGCCGAGUCA